ensembl:misc_RNA Metazoa_SRP Metazoan signal recognition particle RNA
ACCGGGCAUGGUGGCUCAUGCCUGUAAUCCCAGCACUUUGGGAGGUCGAGGUGGGUGGAUCACCUGAGGUCAGGAGUUUGAGACCAGCCUGGCCAACAUGGUGAAACCCCGCCUCUA